AUCCAGUUGACAAGUCCUAAAUAGAACGAAACGUGCGUCCUGGAU
rnacentral:hammerhead_ribozyme from 1 species